AAGACAAGCCACUCCAGAAGGCAGUGGCUCCUGGCUACCAUAGAGCACAACUGGAUGUGGAGGGAAUCCAGAAGGCUGUCUUAGAUUAGGCUUAAUUUUUAGAGAUCUGCAUUUGGCUAUGAUGGAUCCCAUCCUUGUUCCCAGAAAUAUAAUUACAGGCUGUGGAUCUCAGCCACAGAUCUGAAAAUAAUGUCUCCGUAUGCUGCUUCAACAAGCCUCAAGUAGAAAAGUCCCGGGAAGUCCAUUUUGGCUGAGGAUGCUGCUGUCCCUGAAGAUUCCUGAAUCUGCCAGGAAAAGAAUCACAAAUUCCUUGAGGCUGGAAGGGACAUCUGGAGAUCAUUUAGUCCUCCUGUAGCAGUAUGCAACAACUCUGUGAAAGUAACAGAAACAGUUAAAUAAAACAAUCAAUCAUAUUUUUCUUGAAAUUAUUUAUCUUCAGGUUCAUGUUCAAUAAAAUAAAAUUGAAAUCUAA